rnacentral:rRNA from 1 species
GACGAACGCUGGCGGCGUGGAUUAGGCAUGCAAGUCGAACGGUAUCAUCCUUUCGGGGGUGAGAGAGUGGCGAACUGGUGAGUAACACGUAGGUUAUCUACCCUCAAGACGGGGACAACCCAGGGAAACUUGGGCUAAUACCGGAUGUGAGCAACUUUUAGUUGUUUGAAAGGUGGCGUAAGCUGUCGCUUGGGGAUGAGCCUGCGUCCUAUUAGUUAGUUGGUGAGGUAACGGCUCACCUAGGCAAUGAUAGGUAGGCGGCCUUAACGGGUGGUCGCCCACACUGGGAUUGAGAUACGGCCCAGACUCCUACGGGAGGCAGCAGUCGAGAAUAGUCUACAAUGGUCGGAAGACUGAUAGUGCGACGCCGCGUGAACGAUGAAUCCCUUCGGGGUGUAAAGUUCUUUUAUAUGUGAGCAGUGCUUCUCAUAUUAACAGUAUGGGGAGAGAGAUAUUAGCAUAUGAAUAAGCAACGGCUAACUCCGUGCCAGCAGCCGCGGUAA